rnacentral:rRNA from 1 species
AGCGAACGCUGGCGGCAGGCCUAACACAUGCAAGUCGAACGAACUCUUCGGAGUUAAUGGCGGACGGGUGAGUAACACGUGGGAACGUGCCUUUUGGUUCGGAAUAACUCAGGGAAACUUGUGCUAAUACCGAAUGUGCCCUUCGGGGGAAAGAUUUAUCGCCAUUAGAGCGGCCCGCGUCUGAUUAGCUAGUUGGUGAGGUAACGGCUCACCAAGGCGACGAUCAGUAGCUGGUCUGAGAGGAUGACCAGCCACACUGGGACUGAGACACGGCCCAGACUCCUACGGGAGGCAGCAGUGGGGAAUCUUGCGCAAUGGGCGAAAGCCUGACGCAGCCAUGCCGCGUGAAUGAUGAAGGUCUUAGGAUUGUAAAAUUCUUUCACCGGGGACGAUAAUGACGGUACCCGGAGAAGAAGCCCCGGCUAACUUCGUG